rnacentral:lncRNA from 1 species
GGCACAUCUCAUGGUCCGUGUCAGCGCUGGAGUUUGAGAUGAGAUUGGAUUGAAAGCUCUGAAAAAUAGAAAUGUGAAUGGAAAUGGGCCAUGGAGCCUGGGCGGGACGGCUGGGAGGAGAGAUGGCGGCCAGAGUGGCACGCUGACUGGAGGAGUGCCAGCCCCUCUCAACCAGCAUGCGACAGGCGUGGACAGUAAUGGCUGUGUGAUUGGGCUGCACUGGAUGAUGAUUUUAAUAAACACACACACACAGAGGAGGCCACAGGUCAACGGUGU